GCCCAGCUGCCUUUUUGCCAGUCAGUAGAGCAUGAGACUCUUAAUCUCAGGGGUUGUGGGCUCAAGCCCCACGUUGGGCA